rnacentral:rRNA from 2 species
AAACUGGUAAAAUGUGAUGUACCUGAUAGUAUUAGAAAUUAAUAUGAAAUUAACUAAGUUAAUUAAAAUUCGGAGUAGAUAUGUGAUUAUGACAAUAUUUGCUUAUUUCUUGACCAAGUCACGUGCCAGCAGUCGCGGUAAUACGUGGUAGAUCAGUGUUAUUCAUCUUUAAUAGGUUUAAAGGGUACCUAGACGGUUAAUUAAGCAUAUUUAUGUACUAAUUAUUAACUAGAGUUUAAUGUAAGAAGGAUUGAGUACGGUGAGUGUAGAGAUAAAAUUCUGUCAUACCACUUAGGAACUGGUAAAGGCGAAGGCAACCUUUUAUGUAAAAACUGACGUUAAGGGACGAAGGCUCGUAUUAAGUAAUAGGAUUAGAGACCCUAGUAUUGUGGGCAGACAAUGAUGAGUGUCAUAUGCAAGAAAAUCUUUGUGUAUAAAUGAAAGUGUAAGCACUCCACCUCAAGAGUAACGUGGCAACAUGGGAACUGAAAUCAUUAGACCGUUUCUGAAACUCGUAGUGAAGUAUGUUGUUUAAUUUGAUGAUCCUCAAAUAACCUUACCACAAUUUGAAUUACUGGUGCUUUACUUUAAACAUUUAUUAGUUGUUUAUGAGUAGUUUAUUAGUAACAAGCGUUGCACGGCUGUCUUCAGUCAAUGUUGUGAAACUUUGGUUAGAUCCAUUAAAUUGACGUAAACCCUUGCUUUAUUUGUUCUAGAGCAGUUCGCCGC